UGGGGAAUAUUGCACAAUGGAGGAAACUCUGAUGCAGCAACGCCGCGUGGAGGAUGACGCAUUUCGGUGUGUAAACUCCUUUUAUAUAGGAAGAUAAUGACGGUACUAUAUGAAUAAGCACCGGCUAACUCCGUGCCAGCAGCCGCGGUAAUACGGAGGGUGCAAGCGUUACUCGGAAUCACUGGGCGUAAAGCGCGCGCAGGCGGCUUUGUAAGUUGGAUGUGAAAUCCUAUGGCUCAACCAUAGAACUGCAUCCAAAACUACUUAGCUAGAGUCUGGGAGGGGAAGAUGGAAUUAGUGGUGUAGGGGUAAAAUCCGUAGAGAUCACUAGGAAUACCAAAAGCGAAGGCGAUCUUCUGGAACAGUACUGACGCUGAGGCGCGAAAGCGUGGGGAGCAAACA
rnacentral:rRNA from 1 species